UACGAAGGGGGCUAGCGUUGCUCGGAAUUACUGGGCGUAAAGAGCGUGUAGGCGGCCAUUCAGGUCAGCUGUGAAAACUCGAGGCUCAACCUCGAGACGUCGGUUGAAACCGUUUGGCUAGAGUCCGGAAGAGGAGAGUGGAAUUCCCGGUGUAGCGGUGAAAUGCGCAGAUAUCGGGAAGAACACCCGUGGCGAAGGCGGCUCUCUGGGACGGUACUGACGCUGAGACGCGAAAGCGUGGGGAGCGAACAGG
rnacentral:rRNA from 1 species